rnacentral:rRNA from 1 species
UACGAAGGGGGCUAGCGUUGUUCGGAAUUACUGGGCGUAAAGCGCGCGCAGGCGGUCUUCCAAGUCAGUGGUGAAAGCCCGGAGCUCAACUCCGGAACUGCCAUUGAAACUGUGAGACUGGAGUACGAGAGAGGUGAGUGGAAUUCCCAGUGUAGAGGUGAAAUUCGUGAGAUAUUGGGAAGAACACCGGUGGCGAAGGCGGCUCACUGGCCCGAGUAACUGACGACUGAGGCACGGAAAGCGAUGGGGA